rnacentral:rRNA from 1 species
UACGGGGGGGGCAAGCGUUGUUCGGAAUUACUGGGCGUAAAGGGCUCGUAGGUGGCCAACUAAGUCAGACGUGAAAUCCCUCGGCUUAACCGGGGAACUGCGUCUGAUACUGGAUGGCUUGAGUGUGGGAGAGGGAUGCGGAAUUCCAGGUGUAGCGGUGAAAUGCGUAGAUAUCUGGAGGAACACCGGUGGCGAAGGCGGCAUCCUGGACCAAUAUUGACGCUGAGGAGCGAAAGCCAGGGGAGCAAACGGG